rnacentral:rRNA from 1 species
GACGAACGCUGGCGGCGUGCCUAAUACAUGCAAGUAGAACGCUGAAGGAGGAGCUUGCUCUUCUGGAUGAGUUGCGAACGGGUGAGUAACGCGUAGGUAACCUGCCUGGUAGCGGGGGAUAACUAUUGGAAACGAUAGCUAAUACCGCAUAAGAGUAGAUGUUGCAUGACAUUUGCUUAAAAGGUGCAAUUGCAUCACUACCAGAUGGACCUGCGUUGUAUUAGCUAGUUGGUGAGGUAACGGCUCACCAAGGCGACGAUACAUAGCCGACCUGAGAGGGUGAUCGGCCACACUGGGACUGAGACACGGCCCAGACUCCUACGGGAGGCAGCAGUAGGGAAUCUUCGGCAAUGGACGGAAGUCUGACCGAGCAACGCCGCGUGAGUGAAGAAGGUUCUCGGAUCGUAAAGCUCUGUUGUAAGAGAAGAACGAGUGUGAGAGUGGAAAGUUCACACUGUGACGGUAUCUUACCAGAAAGGGACGGCUAACUACGUGCCAGCAGCCGCGGUAAUACGUAGGUCCCGAGCGUUGUCCGGAUUUAUUGGGCGUAAAGCGAGCGCAGGCGGUUAGAUAAGUCUGAAGUUAAAGGCUGUGGCUUAACCAUAGUACGCUUUGGAAACUGUUUAACUUGAGUGCAAGAGGGGAGAGUGGAAUUCCAUGUGUAGCGGUGAAAUGCGUAGAUAUAUGGAGGAACACCGGUGGCGAAAGCGGCUCUCUGGCUUGUAACUGACGCUGAGGCUCGAAAGCGUGGGGAGCAAACAGG